rnacentral:rRNA from 1 species
AUACGGAGGUGGUGAGCGUUGUUCGGAAUUACUGGGCGUAAAGCGUACGUAGGCGGACUGGAAAGUUGGGGGCGAAAUCCCGGGGCUCAACCCCGGAACUGCCUCCAAAACUUCCAAUCUAGAGAUCGAGAGAGGUGAGUGGAAUUCCAAGUGUAGAGGUGAAAUUCGUAGAUAUUUGGAGGAACACCAGUGGCGAAGGCGGCUCACUGGCUCGAUACUGACGCUGAGGUACGAAAGCGUGGGGAGCAAACAGGAUUAGAAACCCUAGUAGUCC